rnacentral:rRNA from 1 species
GAUGAACGCGGCGGCGUGCUUAACACAUGCAAGUCGAACGAAGCUGUUAAAAGGAAGUCUUCGGAUGGAAUUUUAACAGACUUAGUGGCGGACGGGUGAGUAACGCGUGGAUAACCUGCCUUAUACAGGGGGAUAACGGAGAGAAAUUUCCGCUAAGACCGCAUAAGACCACAGCACCGCAUGGUGCAGGGGUAAAAUAUUAAUAGGUAUAAGAUGGAUCCGCGUCCGAUUAGCUUGUUGGUGAGGUAGAGGCUCACCAAGGCGACGAUCGGUAGCCGGCCUGAGAGGGUGAACGGCCACAUUGGGACUGAGACACGGCCCAAACUCCUACGGGAGGCAGCAGUGGGGAAUAUUGGACAAUGGGGGAAGCCCUGAUCCAGCGACGCCGCGUGAGUGAAGAAGUAUUUCGGUAUGUAAAGCUCUAUCAGCAGUGAAAGAAAAAUGACGGUACCCUG